rnacentral:rRNA from 1 species
CGGGGAUUGCCCUCAGUAACGGCGAGUGAAGCGGCAAAAGCUCAAAUUUGGAAUCUCAGUCUUUCAGGCUGCGAGUUGUAAUUUGAAGACGUAUUUUGAAGUAAGCACAUGUCGAAGUUCCUUGGAACAGGACGUCACAGAGGGUGAGAAUCCCGUGCGAUGUGUUCACUGCUUCAUGUAAAAUGCAGUCGAAGAGUCGAGUUGUUUGGGAAUGCAGCUCUAAGUGGGUGGUAAAUUCCAUCUAAAGCUAAAUAUUGGCGAGAGACCGAUAGCGAACAAGUACAGUGAUGGAAAGAUGAAAAGAACUUUGAAAAGAGAGUGAAAAAGUACGUGAAAUUGUUGAAAGGGAAGGGCUUGAGAUCAGACUCGGGCAACCGGGCCAGCAUGGGGUGGGGGAGUAGGAUAACCCUGCAGGAAAGUGGCUUCGCUUCGGUGGAGUGUUAUAGCCUGUAGCUAUACUGCUACCCUCGCCCGAGGACUGCGGAAACAAGGAUGCUGGCAUAAUGAUCUUAAGCCGCCCGUCUAAAAAACGGGAAACAAAA